UAGAGAUGCCAGAGUUCCAAACAGCCAGGACUGUGAUGGAGCAACCAGGUACCCCAGGACAUGGCAAAACCCCAUCUUCCUCAGGUCGCCUAAAGAUGGUCAACACCCCCCUCCCAAGUCAGCAGGAAGCAGUGUUGAGAACUGGACGCCUUUAUUCCCAAACUUGUCACAUCUAACAACCCACCGUUUUAAUAAUAAUAAGAGGAUGCACUGCUUAUGAAGACAUUGUGUUUGGGUUUCAGGAAAAGAGUAAAGCAAGAUGGCUGCUGGACUGUUUGGGAAGAGAAGAACCGGACAUAAAACCGUGAGAGGCUGCCCAAGCCAGUUCCAGUGAGACAACUGAACCAGUGUUCCUGGCCCUUGAUGUCAUCGAAUAAGAAAGGAAACAGCGGGUUCCAGAGUUCCAGUUUCUCAACCUUACAAGCUACUGGAUGAAAGCUUCCUCUGUCCUGAUCGUCUGGGUGCCCAGAGUCGCGCCUAUGCCAGUGUAUUUCUCCAGAGAAACAUAACUUGCCCUAAUGUGUCAGAAAAGAGACUUUGGCAUCACUGCUGGGGUAGUUGCAGCUAUUGAUCUGGAACUACCAUCUCACAGUCUGUAACUACAGCCAGCACAGUGGAUAAACCAACAGGGGAAGUAACAGAGGCUCUCAGCACUCAGAGCUCCUUAAAUAACUUAGCAAAUUUAAAUCUUGAUCAACAAACAUCCUUAAACCUGUUUGCUUACCCUGGCACACAUUUGUGUUAAAACGAGACCUGGGCUCCUUCGUUCUCUAGAGAGAUCCUCCUUGGGGGAAUUAUAGAUGGCAGGCUGUUUAAUCAAAGAAUGGGCUGGGUCCCUAUUUUUGGGCCUUGUAGCCAUAGGACUUAUUUCAUUUGGAAGGCACCUCGGCACUAGACAAGCCCAGGCUCAUUUUGACACUUGAGGGCCACAGAGAAUCCUUCAGCUCAACUAUGGUUGAGCCACAGAAAAAUGAGGCAGCCAAUGAUGGGUGAGACUAAGGGGAUGCCAGCCAACCUAAGACAGGAGGGUCAUGCAGCCUGGGUGAUUUCUCCAUUGACAGGAAAGGUUGCUGUCAACGUCCUAGUCACCUAAGACAGGCGCUAAUUUAUAUAUAUAAAGAAGGAGGAGAUGUUGGGUCCCAGCCCCCACGGAUUUCUGUGCAUUGUUUGUCAGCUGAUAGCCACAGGUGCAUCCUGUUCUCUAGUCCUGGCUUACAGCCCCAGUCUUGCCCACCUGACAUCAACAUCGUGAGGAAAACACGAGUUCUUAGCACCUGGGGUUUUCCCACUGUGCUGUAAGUCUGUAUAUAAGGCUGCUCACUCCUUACAAUACACACACAUGCACACACACGCAGGCACGCACGCACACAGACACACGCAGAGACAAACACAGGCAUUCUCCUUACAACAAACACACACACGAAUUCUCCUGGCAAUAAAGGUGGCAGACUCAUUCUCUUAGCACAAAUAGUUGGACAUCUUGUCUUUCAUUUUCAGCUCAGACUUGUUCGUGGCAAAGACACCACAGUCCACAAAACAAAAAUGCAUCUAACCUGUAAGCCCCACCUGCCCAAGAACAGAUGCUUCCUGAAAUGCUUGUGGCUACUGUUCAUGUAAAACAACAAGCCAUAUUUUUGCUUCCCUAAACAAUUUUGUUUGACCCAACUGCACCAGAUGUGCUUGAUCACAUGUGAGCAGGAGGUAUGUGGGCAGAAAACAUAUCAAGAUGUGUGCUUGCCUCUGAUUGGAUGUAGGCAGGGGGUAUGUAGGCAGGUAAUGUAUGCUUGUCCCUGAUUGUUCCUGACUGGAAAUAUGUAGCCUUAUAGGUUUGCCUUUGUAAGCCUCUGCGAAAUAUGACCCAUGGCCACUUUCUGGGAACCCCAGAGUGGACUGGCUAGAGUCUAUCAUCAUGGCCAGUAUUUAAUUAAAGCUUGCUUCAAAUCUGGCUCAAAA